rnacentral:rRNA from 1 species
CACGUAGGGGGCAAGCGUUGUCCGGAUUUAUUGGGCGUAAAGAGCUCGUAGGCGGCUCAGUAAGUCAGGUGUGAAACCUCCAGGCUCAACCUGGAGACGCCACCUGAUACUGCUGUGGCUAGAGUCCGGUAGGGGAGCGUGGAAUUCCUGGUGUAGCGGUGAAAUGCGCAGAUAUCAGGAGGAACACCAGCGGCGAAGGCGGCGCUCUGGGCCGAUACUGACGCUGAGGAGCGAAAGCGUGGGGAGCGAACAGG